rnacentral:lncRNA from 1 species
GCUGGAGUAUAGUGGCACAAUCUUGUCUCACUGCAGGCUCUGCCUCCCAGGUUCAAGCGAUUCUCCUGCCUCAGCCUGCCGAGUAGCUGGGAUUAGAGGUACCCACCCCAUGCCCGGCUGAUUUUUGUAUUUUUAGUAGAGGUGGGGUGUCACCAUGUCGGCCAGGCUGGUCUCGAACUCCUGACUUCAGGUGAUCUGCCCACCUUUGCCUCCCAAAGUGCUGGAAUUACAGGCGUGAGCCACCGUGCCCUGCCGACGUUUGGAAUUUAUGAGGAAAGGUACAAGAAUUCUUCUAGGCCAGGUCUCGAGUGCCACCUCUCUACCCUGUGAGAUACGCAGAGGACCCUGUAAAUGCCGUGCCCCGCAUGCCUCGGCCUGGGCGUGAGCCGUACGCGGGGGAGGUGGUGACGUUUGUAAUCCAGACGUCGUUUCGUUGCGACUGGGUCACCUGUGAUGCCCUAAGCCCUGAGAACUUUUCAGGAUUGCCAGAUUUAGAAAAUGAAAACGCAAAACUCCAAGUUAAAUUUGAAUUUAAGUAGACAAUGAAUACUUUUUUG